UUUAUCACCGAGUGCUUGCACUCACCGAUAAAGAGUUGAGUAGCGAACGGGUGAGUAACACGUGGGCAACCUGCCCAAAAGAGGGGGAUAACACUUGGAAACAGGUGCUAAUACCGCAUAACCAUAGUUACCGCAUGGUAACUAUGUAAAAGGUGGCUAUACUACCGCUUUUGGAUGGGCCCGCGGCGCAUUAGCUAGUUGGUAGGGUAAAGGCUUACCAAGGCAAUGAUGCGUAGCCGAAUUGAGAGGUUGAUCGGCCACAUUGGGACUGAGACACGGCCCAAACUCCUACGGGAGGCAGCAGUAGGGAAUCUUCCACAAUGGGCGAAAGCCUGAUGGAGCAACGCCGCGUGGGUGAAGAAGGUCUUCGGAUCGUAAAACCCUGUUGUUAGAGAAGAAAGUGCGUGAGAGUAACUGUUCACGUUUCGACGGUAUCUAACCAGAAAGCCACGGCUAACUACGUGCCAGCAGCCGCGGUAAUACGUAGGUGGCAAGCGUUAUCCGGAUUUAUUGGGCGUAAAGGGAACGCAGGCGGUCUUUUAAGUCUGAUGUGAAAGCCUUCGGCUUAACCGGAGUAGUGCAUUGGAAACUGGGAGACUUGAGUGCAGAAGAGGAGAGUGGAACUCCAUGUGUAGCGGUGAAAUGCGUAGAUAUAUGGAAGAACACCAGUGGCGAAAGCGGC
rnacentral:rRNA from 1 species